rnacentral:rRNA from 1 species
UUCCCCUAGUAACUGCGAGUGAAGAGGGAAGAGCUCACAUUUAAAAUCUGGCGGUCUGGCGGCCGUCCGAGUUGUAGCCUGGAGAAGCGUCCUCUGCGCCGGACCCGUGUACAAGUCUCCUGGAACGGAGCGUCGUARAGGGUGAUAAUCCCGUCGUCGACACGGACCUCCGGUUAGCUAUGCGAGGCGCUCUCGAAGAGUCGAGUUGUUUGGGAAUGCAGCUCAAAGUGGGUGGUGAAUUCCAUCUAAAGCUAAAUACAGGCGAGAGACCGAUAGCGGACAAGUACCGUGAGGGAAAGAUGAAAAGCACUCUGGAAAGAGAGUUAAACAGCACGUGAAAUCGCUGAGAGGGAAACGCUUGAAGUCAGUCGCGUCGGCGUUAGGAGGUCAGCCUUCCCGGGAUAAUAACCGUGGGGCGCACUCUCCCGUCGACGGGCCAGCAUCGAUUUCGACCGCCGGAGAAGGGCUCGGGGAACGUGGCACCUCCGGGUGUGUUAUAGCCCCCUGUCGUAUGCGGCGGUCGGGAUCGAGGUUUUUACAUGUUCGCAGCACGCCUUUUUGGCCGGGGCCGUUCGCGGUCCACGUCCGUGCUUAGGAUGCUGGCGUAAUGGCUUUAAACGACCCGUCUUGAAACACGGACCAAGGAGUCCAACUCGCCUGCGAGUGUUUGGGUGGAAAACCCGAGCGCGUAACGAAAGUGAAAGGUCGAGAACCCCUUUGACCGGGGGGGCACCGACGCCCGGGCCCUUUCAACCCCCUCGAAAGGGGGGGCCCUGGACCCGCGGUAGAGCAUGCGUGUUGGGACCCGAAAGAUGGUGAACUAUGCCUGAAUAGGGUGAAGCCAGGGGAAACCCUGGUGGAGGCUCGUAGCGAUUCUGACGUGCAAAUCGAUCGUCGAAUUUGGGCAUAGGGGCGAAAGACUAAUCG